GAUGAAGAACGUAGCGAAAUGCGAUACGUAAUGUGAAUUGCAAAUUCAGUGAAUCAUCGAGUCUUUGAACGCACAUUGCGCCCCCUGGUAUUCCGGGGGGCAUGCCUGUCCGAGCGUCAUUGCUGCCCUCAAGCACGGCUUGUGUGUUGGGCCCCGUCCUCCGAUCCCGGGGGACGGGCCCGAAAGGCAGCGGCGGCACCGCGUCCGGUCCUCGAGCGUAUGGGGCUUUGUCACCCGCUCUGUAGGCCCGGCCGGCGCUUGCCGAUCAACCCAAAUUUUUUAUCCAGGUUGACCUCGGAUCAGGUAGGGAUACCCGCUGAACUUAAGCAUAUCAAUAAAGGA
rnacentral:misc_RNA from 1 species